UAAGGAAUAUUGGUCAAUGGAGGCAACUCUGAACCAGCCAUGCCGCGUGCAGGAAGACGGCCCUCUGGGUUGUAAACUGCUUUUAUUCGGGAAUAAGCCUAUCUACGUGUAGAUAGCUGAAUGUACCGAAGAAAUAAGGAUCGGCUAACUCCGUGCCAGCAGCCGCGGUAAUACGGAGGAUCCAAGCGUUAUCCGGAUUUAUUGGGUUUAAAGGGUGCGUAGGCGGCUUAUUAAGUCAGGGGUGAAAGACGGUGGCUCAACCAUCGCAGUGCCCUUGAUACUGAUGAGCUUGAAUGAACUAGAGGUAGGCGGAACGUGACAAGUAGCGGUGAAAUGCAUAGAUAUGUCACAGAACACCGAUUGCGAAGGCAGCUUACUAUGGUUUUAUUGACGCUGAGGCACGAGAGCGUGGGGAUCAAACA
rnacentral:rRNA from 1 species